GACGAACGCUGGCGGCGUGCUUAACACAUGCAAGUCGAACGGAAAGGCCCUGCUUUUGUGGGGUGCUCGAGUGGCGAACGGGUGAGUAACACGUGAGUAACCUGCCCUUGACUUUGGGAUAACUUCAGGAAACUGGGGCUAAUACCGGAUAGGAGCUCCUGCUGCAUGGUGGGGGUUGGAAAGUUUCGGCGGUUGGGGAUGGGCUCGCGGCUUAUCAGCUUGUUGGUGGGGUAGUGGCUUACCAAGGCUUUGACGGGUAGCCGGCCUGAGAGGGUGAACGGCCACAAGGGGACUGGGGUACGGCCCAGACUCCUACGGGAGGCAGCAGUGGGGAAUAUUGCACAAUGGGCGGAAGCCUGAGGCAGAAACGCCGCGUGCGGGAUGACGGCCUUCGGGGUGUAAACCGCUUUCGCCUGCGACGAAGCGUGAGUGACGGUAAUGGGUAAAGAAGCACCGGCUAACUACGUG
rnacentral:rRNA from 1 species